rnacentral:snoRNA from 2 species
ACGACCUUACUUGAACAGGAUCUGUUCUAUAGGAUCGUACCACUGCAUCCUUUACCAACAAGGAGGCAAGCACUAAGUCUGGUUGAUGAUCCAGAACCUCUGGGCCAGAGCGUGAUUGACGGCUAGGAUGCUCCGGAAGGUGCCAUCUGACGGCUGUGGAGGAUCGUUCCUGCUAGGCCUGUCCUGGUUAGGGUGGCUCAGAGGUUGUCUGACAGACU